AUUGAACGCUGGCGGCAGGCCUAACACAUGCAAGUCGAGCGAGCGGCGGACGGGUGAGUAAUGUAUGGGGACUGCCCGAUAGAGGGGGAUAAACACUGGAAACGGUGGCUAAUACCGCAUACUAUCGGAUAACCCAUAUGGGUUUAGCUAGUAGGUGGGGUAAAGGAUCACAUAGGCGACGAUCUCUAGCUGGUCUGAGAGGAUGAUCAGCCACACUAGGGCUGAGGCACAGCCCAGAAUCCUACGGAGGCAGGAGUUGGGAAUAUUGCGCAAUGGGCACAAGCCUGAUGCCACCAUGCCGCGUUUAUGAAAAAGGCCUUAGGGUUGUGAGGUACUUUCAGCGGGGAGACGUUACCCUCGGAAGGAGCACCGGCUAACUCCGUGCGAGCAGCCGCGGUAAUUC
rnacentral:rRNA from 1 species